rfam:Brachypodium distachyon strain Bd21 chromosome 3, whole genome shotgun sequence.
CCUAUACUCUCUCCGUCCAACAAAAGAUGUCUCAAGUUUGUUAAAAUUUGGAGGUAUCUAAACAUGACUUAGUGUAUAGAUGCAUUCAAAUUUAGUCAAAGUUGAGACUUUUUUUGUUGGACGGAGAGAGUAUAUA